UCCGGCUUGCCGCCGGCAGUCCCUCCAGAGUGCCCAACUAAAUGAUGGCAACGCGAAGAACCUUACCUAGGCUCGAAAUGCUAUGGACAGUCUGUGAAAGCAGAUCUUCCCCUUAAAAGGACCGUAGUAUAGGUGCUGCAUGGCUGUCGUCAGCUCGUGUCGUGAGAUGUUGGGUUAAGUCCCGCAACGAGCGCAACCCUUGUCCUGUGUUGCCAUGUCGAAAGACGGAACUCGCAGGAGACCGCCAGGGAUAACCUGGAGGAAGGUGGGGAUGACGUAGAACGGUUGGUU
rnacentral:misc_RNA from 1 species